GUAAUCCUUGUCAACCACAUCCAGCUGCUAUGUUGGCAGUGAUAGCCUGCUCUCACUAUUUAAGCAAGAGUGUGAGAACAGCACUUCGCCACUCAGUUGUUUGUUUUUCCUAACAGAGUCCUCUUGGAAGCCUUACUGUCCAAAUCUGACGCCAAGCUUCAGGAGAGACAAACAACACAUCAGGCCUUUAGAGUGGGCCCCACACCAACACCUUGUUCAUGCCACAAAGAGGAGGUUGAUUCUAUCUUCUUUUCACAAAAGAUAUAUCCUACUUGUAAUUGGCGUUGGAGCUCUGGAAGACACAGUUCCCAGCUUUCUGAUUUACUGUGAGGGCGACAAUGGCAGCUCUGCUUUAUUCCUUUAAAAUGGCUACCUGUUGCUGCAUGUAUUAACUUUCUGCUCUUGAUCCUUAUAUUUAAGACUCCUACUUCUCUACUUUAUUUGACUUGCCAGCCAGCCAGCCAAAAUAAUGCAGCAGAAGUGUGGCUGUUUCUUAACUAACCGUCAAAUCCAGUGACUUUUCCUCAAAGGAGCAUUUAUGUUUUAGACAAUUACACUCGCCCAGCAGUCAAACUGCAAUAAAGCCUUAUUUGGAAAAUGGGAUCCUCUCUCAAGGCAGAAGAGCCUUUGGCUGUAUCUACAUGCUCUAUGAAUGUGUAUAUACCAGGGAGUUAGUUCAGAGAUGGUAAGAUACUUGACAGUAUAAGAGAAAAUGUGCCCUUUCACAUUCUCUCCACCCACCCAUGCACCAAGCUGGGUAAAAAGGUCAUCAAUACCACCAACAUCCACUGAUAAAAUUACAAUCUGUGUGGGUCAUGUUCUCUUCCAUUAUUUUUUCGCCCAUUUCUACCACUCCUUGUUGAGCCUACAGGAUAGAAUAGUGGUGGUCACAUUAUGGACAUUACUUCAGCAACACCUCUUUCUGUCCACAAUUUAUGUCCACAUGUAGUUGAACAGGCAAUACCAGGUGUGAGAAGCUGUGUGCUGGCUUGGACCAUUAGAUAUUUGCCCAGUUCGUUCCUUUAAAAUGUUACAACAUUGUUUUGCAUAUUAAAUGUAUAUGUUCCGUUGCAUCAUAUUGACCACCAGCUUCUCUGGGAAGAGGUACAAAUGCAGACCAGAAGUAGAGCUGAGGCAUUUUUGUUGGAAACAGAAAAGAAGGAAAGGGGAAAAAAGAUAUAUGAGAUAUGAUGAUGUUGGUCAUGAUCACAUCCAAUUGCACUUCUCACUUGUUGUUGAAUACUGAACAAGAUGCAAU